rnacentral:rRNA from 1 species
ACGGAGGAUCCGAGCGUUAUCCGGAUUUAUUGGGUUUAAAGGGAGCGUAGGCGGGUUGUUAAGUCAGUUGUGAAAGUUUGCGGCUCAACCGUAAAAUUGCAGUUGAUACUGGCGACCUUGAGUGCAACAGAGGUAGGCGGAAUUCGUGGUGUAGCGGUGAAAUGCUUAGAUAUCACGAAGAACUCCGAUUGCGAAGGCAGCUUACUGGAUUGUAACUGACGCUGAUGCUCGAAAGUGUGGGUAUCAAACAGGAUUAGAUACCCGAGU